GGGUUGUCUGAUUUAUGUCAAUAGUUUGCAGACUGAUAAGCUUGGACCUCAGUUCGAUAAGUGUUAUAAUGUAGGGUACUCUAAGAAAAUUAAGGGAUGUUACUUCUACCUUGCUGAAGAACAAGGGUUGUUCAAUAUUCUUUUUAGAAAAAAAGUUCUUUGAUGAAGGAACUAAUACCUCUAAAGAUGAACUUUUGAAGUUUGAUAGG
rnacentral:lncRNA from 1 species